rnacentral:tRNA from 1 species
UGGCUCAGAUGGUAAAGAAUCUGCCUGCAAUGCAGGAGAUCCAGGUUCAAACCCUGG